UUUUAUUACAAAAAUGACCGCGAGAACUCACUACGAAGUUCUGCGCUUGAACUGCAAGUAAACUGAGUGACCGUAGUAAGCCUAGUGCUGACGGCGUGCCAGUCAAGUGUCUGCCCUAUCAACUUUUACGGUAGUGUAUCGGACUACCGUGGUCGUAACGGGUAACGGGGAAUCAGGGUUUGAUUCCGGAGAGGGAGCCUGAGAAACGGCUACCACAUCUAAGGAAGGCAGCAGGCGCGUAAAUUACCCAAUUCCAGAACGGAGAGGUAGUGACGAAAAAUAACAAUAUGAAGCCUUAGGGUUUUGUGAUUGGAAUGGGCGGAAAAUAACAUCUUCCGCGAGGAUCUAGUGGAGGGCAAGUCUGGUGCCAGCAGCCGCGGUAAUACCAGCAUCCACAAGCAUAUACAAAAGUUGCUGCGUUUAAAAAGCUCGUAGUUGGAUCUGUUGGUUGAGUCUAUUAAAACUCCUUGUACUUCAUAGUAUGGGAAAGACUCGGCUUCCUUAGCCACUGAAAAUACUUGCGCUUUACCGCGUUGAGUAUUGGAGGUGGAUGGUUAACUUUGACUAAAGUAGAGU
rnacentral:rRNA from 1 species